rnacentral:rRNA from 1 species
ACGAACGCUGGCGGCGUGCUUAACACAUGCAAGUCGAACGGAAAGGCCCUGCUUUUGUGGGGUGCUCGAGUGGCGAACGGGUGAGUAACACGUGAGUAACCUGCCCUUGACUUUGGGAUAACUUCAGGAAACUGGGGCUAAUACCGGAUAGGAGCUCCUGCUGCAUGGUGGGGGUUGGAAAGUUUCGGCGGUUGGGGAUGGACUCGCGGCUUAUCAGCUUGUUGGUGGGGUAGUGGCUUACCAAGGCUUUGACGGGUAGCCGGCCUGAGAGGGUGACCGACCACAUUGGGACUGAGAUACGGCCCAGACUCCUACGGGAGGCAGCAGUGGGGAAUAUUGCACAAUGGGCGGAAGCCUGAUGCAGCAACGCCGCGUGCGGGAUGACGGCCUUCGGGUUGUAAACCGCUUUCGCCUGUGACGAAGCGUGAGUGACGGUAAUGGGUAAAGAAGCACCGGCUAACUACGUG